rnacentral:rRNA from 1 species
UACGUAGGUGGCAAGCGUUGUCCGGAAUUAUUGGGCGUAAAGCGCUCGUAGGCGGUUUCUUAAGUCUGCUGUGAAAGCCCCCGGCUCAACCGGGGAGGGUCAUUGGAAACUGGGGAACUUGAGUACAGAAGAGGAAAGCGGAAUUCCACGUGUAGCGGUGAAAUGCGUAGAGAUGUGGAGGAACACCAGUGGCGAAGGCGGCUUUCUGGUCUGUAACUGACGCUGAGGCGCGAAAGCGUGGGGAGCAAACAGG